rnacentral:rRNA from 1 species
AGGACGAACGCUGGCGGCGUGCUUAACACAUGCAAGUCGAGCGAGGCCCUUCCUUCGGGAGGGUGUCCUAGCGGCGAACGGGUGAGUAACACGUGGGCAACCUGCCCUCAGCUCUGGGAUAACUCCAAGAAAUUGGGGCUAAUACCGGAUAUGACCGCUGACCGCAUGGUCUGGUGGUGGAAAGAUUUAUCGGCUGGGGAUGGGCCCGCGGCCUAUCAGCUUGUUGGUGGGGUAGUGGCCUACCAAGGCGACGACGGGUAGCCGGCCUGAGAGGGUGACCGGCCACACUGGGACUGAGACACGGCCCAGACUCCUACGGGAGGCAGCAGUGGGGAAUAUUGGACAAUGGGCGGAAGCCUGAUCCAGCAACGCCGCGUGAGGGAUGACGGCCUUCGGGUUGUAAACCUCUUUCAGCACAGACGAAGCGAAAGUGACGGUAUGUGCAGAAGAAGCACCGGCCAACUACGUGCCAGCAGCCGC